UUAGAUCACCGACCAGCGGCACAGAAUGUGCUUUGUAGGGUGGGAGAGGGCGGGUGGCUUCCAUCGCCAUCUGUGGCAAACUAGAGCUGAGGCAUGGCGGCCCUAGUUCAGGUCAAAAUGAGAAGCCAAGGACGGCUUUUGGACAGAAGUGUGCGGGGUUCAAGCUGAGCUGCAGGCAGAUUGUAGUGGGCAGACCAUGGGAGGUCAUUCGGAUGGGGGCCUGCAGGCCUGAAGCACCACACAGCUCUAGAGGCACCAGCCACCCGGAACAGAUGGAAGAAGCGCUAAAGAAUGGUGGCAAAACCUGCCAGUGGCUUAUUUUCACAGUCGCCUGAACAAUGAGGAAGUACUUAAGGAAGAGCCAAGGUCUGCUGUACAAGGAGGCAAACAGGCAAUGUGAACAAUGAAUAUAUUUAACAGCUCUACCAACUUCAAAGUGCCGUUAAAUAAAAAUCAAUCUUAAUUUGUCUUAUACGGUUGUGCCAUUUCAUCUAAGAGGUGCUCCUUAGGAGGAAAAAGCAAAGACUCAGGACAUGUAAUAGCCCUUGAAUAGUUUCAAGGAGUCAUUGAAAGUCAUAUUGGGACAAAAUUUCAAAAUCUCAAUCUGCCACCAGGAAAAGUUAAUUAAUCCAUUGCUUUAUUUACAUCAUUCCCAAGCACUGGUAUGACUGACAGUUUAAUUGGAUGAUGAAAUCAUAACUAUUUUGACACUAUGGUAUAUAAAUUGGAGUGGCACCUCUAGAAAUUGGGAAGCAUGAGUGUGUUACUUUUAUGUCACUUGCAACAAAUAAGAUGAGUCCAUUUAAAAGAAGGAAAAAUUUAUUUUGGCUCAUGGUUUUGGAGGUUUCAGUCCAUGGUCACUUGGCCGUGCUGCUGUGGUAGAAGUGUCCUGUUCAACUCACAGAGGUCAGGAAGCAAAGAGAAACACAGGAAAGGGCUGGAAUCCUAAUACCCCUUCACGGGCACAUUCCCCAGUGACUUCUUUCC
rnacentral:lncRNA from 1 species